UCUUGUGUUGGGUUAGUCCUAGCACAUGUCUCCACAUGUGCCCACAUUAUUAGUUCAACAUCUCCAUGUCCAUGACUCGUGAAACAUUGUCAUCAACUAAUACAUGUGCUAGUGUAAUAUUCAUGUGUGUCCUGACAUGAACUCCGACUAGGGACAAAUUUAGAAUAACCAUACAAGUAAAGAGUUUCACAUACAAUUCACAUAAUUGCAAAUCAAUUCAAGUAUCCUUUAAUGGAUAUUCAAGGAACACAAUAUAAAUCAUGGAUACAAAUGGAAUAUCAUCAUCUCUAUAAUUGCCUCUAGGGCAUACCUCCAACAGUCUCCC
rnacentral:lncRNA from 1 species